rnacentral:rRNA from 1 species
AUUAACGCGAAGAACCUUACCAGGGCUUGACAUGUAUUGUAACCCCGGUGAAAGCCGGGCAGCGUAGAAAUACGCGCUUUACACAGGUGCUGCAUGGCUGUCGUCAGCUCGUGUCGUGAGAUGUUGGGUUAAGUCCCGCAACGAGCGCAACCCUUAUGGUUUGUUGCCACCGGCAUUUGCCGAGCACUCAAAUCAGACUGCCCAGAUUAACUGGGAGGAAGGUGGGGAUGACGUCAAGUCCGUAUGGCCCUUACGUCCUGGGCUGCACACGUACUACAAUGUCCAGUACAGAAUGAUCUGAUGCUGCGAAGCUGAAGAAAUCACUAAAACUGGGCUCAGUUCAGAUUGCAGGCUGCAACUCGCCUGCAUGAAGUCGGAAUCGCUAGUAAUGGCGCAUCAGCAACGGCGCCGUGAAUACGUUCCCGGGUCUUGUACACACGCAAU